CUUCCAGUCAGGUGAGAGUAUCUAAGAGAUGGGUCUUCCAGUCAGGUCAGAGUAUCUUAGAGGUGGGUCUUCCAGUCAGGUGAGAGUAUCUAAGAGAUGGGUCUUCCAGUCACGUGAGAGUAUCUAAGAGAUGGGUCUUCCAGUCACGUUAGAGUAUCUAAGAGGUGGGUCUUCCAGUCAGGUAAGAGUAUCUAAAAGGUCGGUCUUCCAGUCAGGUGAGAGUAUCUAA